UACGUAGGUUGCGAGCGUUAAUCGGAAUUACUGGGCGUAAAGCGUGCGCAGGCGGUUUGGUAAGACAGAUGUGAAAUUCCCGGGCUUAACCUGGGAACUGCAUUUGUGACUGCCAGGCUAGAGUGCGGCAGAGGGGAGUGGAAUUCCGCGUGUAGCAGUGAAAUGCGUAGAUAUGCGGAGGAACACCGAUGGCGAAGGCAACUCCCUGGGCCUGCACUGACGCUCAUGCACGAAAGCUAGGGGAGCAAACCGG
rnacentral:rRNA from 1 species